CUUCUAGAAAUCACGGUCUGAGAAGACAGAGGCAGUGAAGUACAGACGCAGCCUGGGAGCCGGUCCUUGGGGUCCUGUCCCUUGAGUCAUUGGUUCUUCAGUUCCUGUGAGUUUGCAGCUGACUCCGUUGAUGGCUGAAUGGACCUGCAACUACCCCUGCCACCUGGAGCGUCUUCGUGUGUUUCCCCAGGAAGAGGGCAGGUGUGCACUGAUGAGCCGGUGGGUGGAGUAAGGGCAGGAAGGUGAUGAUUGCUUCUGCUGGAACACUCAGGUGCUUGGGUGUGACACCUGCCUCCAAUGGAAUUCCCUCGUCCAUGAUGUGAAGAAACAGAGCUAUUCUCUGCUUAGGCUUUUGGGAGCUAGUAUGAGGUUUUAAUGAGGUCAGUAACCAAGCUACUCAUCCUUCCUAAUAGAAUCACCAGGUCUGAAUGGUGAGGGCAUGCCCUCAAUUAGACAUGUUAUCAUGACCAGCUUGAGUGUCCACUCUGUGCUGUAGGGUACUAUUAAAUGUUACGACGAGGCUCCGAGAAGUGCAGGGACUUGCCUAAGUUCCUCUGGUUCCUUAGCCAUGCACUAUUUCCUGGGGCUUGGACUUGACUGUGUACUCAUCUGGCCUAGGAGCCUAGGUUUCUGGCAGAACCCUGCGGCUUCCUAAUCCCAAGAUUGAGGGAAGGAGCCACUACAGAAUAUAGCUAAGCAUCUCUACAGAAAAGAUUCAAGGCCGUAGACAGCACCAAAUUCAGCCAAGAAGCAUGCCAGUGGCCCAAUGCAGCCUGGAGAUUAGAACCUCCAGGAUUUGGGUGGGCUCUGUGUUCUGAGACAUGACCCAGAAGAUUUAAUAGUCACUGGCUGAGGACUUCUAUUCUAAACAAAACCCUUUUUGUGGUGUGUCUAUGGUGUGUGUUGGCACACACACACACAUGUAUGUCACAUGCUGAGGUCAGGGGACAACUUUAGGUGUUGGUCUUCACCUUCCAAGUGGUUCGAGACAGCGUCUCUUGCCCAUUGUAGAAUACUCCAGGUUAGCUGGCCUUUGAGCUUUUGGGGAUUCUCUCAUUUCCUCUUCCAAUCUCUUCAUAAUGUCCUGCUGAGGUUACAGUAUGUAUGUUACUGGGUUUUAGGGACUAGAACGCAGGUCAUUGUGCUUGCACAACAAUCACUUUCCCCACUGAGCCAGCUCCAUAGCCCCAAACCUCUACUCUUAAAUAUUAAUUAGUUGAGCGCAAACCCUAUGUCAGCCUGGGGUAUGGACAUUCAUAAACACAACUCUUGCCUUGUGGGAUCUUAUAGUUCAGAAAAGGACAGAUGGAUUACCUGUUCAUCCACACAGAGCAUUAAGGCUAGUGACACUAGUGUACAAGGUCUCCAUCACCUCCCCACAGUGAAGAAGCAAGAGUCUACGGGCUCAGGAAGGCCUCUUAAAGGACUGUACGUUAGUAGAGACAAGCAACCAGCCUUUACUGGGUGCCAAGAGUGGCCAAGUGGGUUUGUUAGAUGCAGAACAGUUGAGUGCAGACCGGGUAUUGGAGAAGUGAGUGAUCUUACGGUGAAGAGAUGGGAGAAGGAAAACCACACCAUGACCGAGAUUCAUCCUUCUCAUUCCAGGUGACGGGGCCAGCAACCCCGUUCACACUUGGAUCCUUGUUCUUAGGACCCACUCUGUGUGCGAACUUGGCCAUCCUCCCUGUGCAUACCUCUAACACCCCACCCACCCCCAUGACUGCCCUUUCCCUUCAUGCCUCCCUCUAGAAAAAUUGCUCUUCUUUCUCCCCAUCCUCACCAUCCUGCCUGGUCCUCUAGUCUCCUUGUCUUGACAGUCUCCCACUUGGCUUAUGACUACUACCCUUGCUUUACCACACAGCCAGGCUAACUUUGGCAGCCAAUUUAAUGACAUAUUGGCCAAGCAUGUCUACUUUGCCUAACUAUACAGAAAGUGAUCUAUUUUUAAUACAUAAAUGAAUCACUUCAAUGUCAUCACUUUUGGGAACCCUAAAAUAUUUUACAUAAUAAACACAGUCUGAGGAAAACAAAACAUCGGAAUGCAAAGAACAGACCAUACUCUGUCAGUGGUGACAUAUAUAAAGCUUGGGUAUAUAUAUAUUUGGGCUGAGCUGCAUAAGGGUUGUGUUUUGGUAGAAGACAAGUGUGAAUUAUUUAGAGUGAACUUGCCAAAUGCUAUGCUUCAUGGAGAUACUGUUUAUGUGUGUAUGUUUAUAUUUUCUUUAGAACUAUGCAAUUUGGUCUUGUGCCUGCCUCACUGAUCAUGAACUAAGCGGUGGAAACGAGUGUUGCUGCACAACUGACAGAAUAAUAUGCCAUGCUAAAGGUUCUUUGCGUGAAUAGCGUAUCCUCCUAUUUCGUUCCAUGGUGUUGGAGGCUCAGGCAAGAUUAAAUCAGGCAUGCCGGUACUCAGAUCCUAAAACAGAAUCUGAAGGCAUUCCAGCCUAAUAUGAUGAUUUUCCUGGUCACCUCACUCUACUGCUAAUGAUGCAGAGCAGAUUUUAGCAUGACAUUGCUUCAGUCUGUUAGAGUGGGGUCUCGCAGUCUUUGGGCUCUGAGUCACUCAUUGCGCUCCAGGCUCUGUCCUCUUCCUGCCCACACCACACUAUAUUGUUCUCUUAAGUCUCGUACUUCUGUUCUUUUUUUUCAAGUAUGUGAGCAUCAGAGGGAAAGUUGCAAACUGAGCUUUCUACUCACCAAUACUCUAUGUCCCUUCAUUUGUCUUUUUUUUUUCUUUUUUUCAAGACAAGGUUCUCUGUGUAGCUCCGGCUGUCCUGGAACUCACUCUGUAGACUAGGCCAGCUUUGAACUCAGAGAUCUGCCUGCUUCUGCCUCUGGGAUUAAAGGUGUGUGCUGCCACUGCCUGGCUCAUUUGUCUUUAUUUGACCAGUCAUCACAAUUUUCAAUGUUUAUCAUACAUCUUUUCUGCUUCUCUCAUCUCCCAACCCUCCCUAUAACUUGCUCAUCCUUGGCAAGGACCUUGGUGGCUCCCACUUUACAGAGGAAACUCACGUGGACAUCUGAAUCCUCAUGCUGGCUUGUGCUUCUCAGAGGAAGAGCUAGGCCUGACCUUCAGGCCCAGCAAUUCUAUUUCCAUUGUCCUUCAUCACUUCCCCAGGGAAUACUCAACCAUAGGAUUGGGUUGGGCUCUUUUCAUUGGCUGAAAUAGGUCCCUCCUCCUGCCUGUCAUCCUCCACACAUGCUCAGCUCUCUUUAACAUACCUGUGCUACCACCUGCUUUACCGUGGGUGGUCUGUUAGCUCUCUCCUGUCCUCAUGAAGAUUCUAGUAUGUCUAAUUGCCUUUUCCUUUCACCCUGUCUUCCUUCUGGGGCUCACUGAAGCCUCUUUCCUCUAUGAAUCUCCUUAGAAUUUGUACCCUCUUUCUUUCCUAGCUAUUGGUAUAUAUAGUUUUUCUUCAGCGUUUAUGAUUUGAAUUCUUUAUGGUGUUAUGUGUCUUUUUGAAAGCUUUCCAUCAUCAGACGGUAAUAUCCUUGCUUUAUCUGCCCCGAUUCAUCCUGUGUCAAAAGGAAAAAGAACCAGAAGCAUGGCCAGUGUGGGACAGAGCCUAGGUGGCCCUGAGUGACUCACAGAGUGGGCCCAUCACACUGAAGCACAGCCUGUGCUUACAGGUUACCUUCUAGUCAGUUCCACCCUUAUCAUUGAUUUAAUUUAAUUUCAGUAAUCCCCACUCCAUGUUUCCCCUUAUGUCCCCUUAUGCUUAACUUAAUAGACUUCAUUUCAUGUGAAGGUGAUUUUUUUUAAAGUCUUUCCCAAUCAUUUGUGUGUAACACAGUGUGAUCUAGGUGACUUAGGGACACAUGACGCUCCUACAGUUGAUUGCAUAAAGACCAGUACUGAUGGAGCUGAAUGGAAUCUGUAAGGAGGAGUAAGAAUCAUGCAAUGGACGGAGAGGUGGGGAGGAGAGGGCAUUCUGGGUAGUCUCCUGAGACAGCUGGUCAGUUGGGCAGCCUCUAGAGGGCAGAUGAGUGAUUGUGUCAAGCUGACUCAGGACUUGAAAUCCUGACAUGAAAAGAGUGGUGAGUAGUCCAGAAAGGGCCUUUUAAGGCAGGCAGGUUGUGAGGACAGUCAAAUAUAUUCUAUUCAGGCAAACACUCAUACACAUAAACUAAAAAGAAAUCUUUAAAAAUUAUUGUGCAUGAUAUGAAGACAUGUAAAUUCAAUAAAAGAGAAAAGUAACAAAUGAGGGCAUUGGUAGGGUGGAGGUCUAGGGCCACCAACCAGGGAAACUGAGCCCAGCAGAGUUGCAGCUUGAAUUGGUGAGUUACCCAGUGUCAGGGUGCGAGGUGGGUUUGUUUCUGCUACAGCCAGACCUGAGGAGCACCACCUUCCAGCUUUGGCAGGGCUUGUGCAGAAACCAGCUGGACCAAAGGGAGGCCUCGGGGCUCCUAGAAACAGCAUGAUAGAUGGUUUUUCAAUUAUAGCAGAGGGUUUCACCCCGAUCAGCAAGGUCUCAGAGCAUGUGCAUCCCAGGGCAGAAGAUCUGAGAGAGUGCUCGGGCAUCCAGCAGUGAGAAUGACAACGGACUUGGCCUGUUUCUAAUUGUCAUCCAGAUGCUGACUUUAUCUGAGAUGCUCCACUAGGGUGAUGGAAGACUCACAACCAAAAGGACCCCGCCUAGGACCUUGUGUGUCCGUCAGGUGGAGCAGACUCCAGAUCUGAGAAGUGCAGGCGCAUCGCUGGAGACCCUCCAAGCUUCGACCACCCACCUGGCUUUCUUAAGGAUGAUGCAAGUGAAAAUAGCAACUAAAGGUUCAGUGAUUCUGGCCUUAUGUUGAGGUCUUUGGUCCAUUUGGAGUUGAGUUUUGUGCAGGGCUCAGCUCUCCCUUGUGUUCACCAUGGAAUGGACGUCACAUCACAUGGCCGCUUGCUGCCUGCUGCUGUCCUGGGUGUUACCAUGUACUCUAAGGUCAGAGGGUGAUUGGAGGUACACACUUUCUGAGGAGGGAGACAUGUUUAGAAAUAAAUGGGAUUCUUUUAUGAGGGGAGGAGAAUAAAAGCAGUGAAAAUAAAAUCCAGGGGUGUGAGUUGUGGAAACAGAUAGAGCAGCCAUUAUUAGGAAAGCAGAGGAGAGUGAGAUAUUUCCAGAUAUUUGUCCCCAUGGCACAAACAUACCAAUUCAUUUAGUCAUAGACUCCUUCCCUUUCUCUUUUAUUACAUUUAUUUAUUUAUUUUGUGCAUGUGUUUCUGAGUGUGUAUGUGUGUGGAGGUCAGAGGUCAGCUUGUGAGAACUGGUUCACUCCUCUGUCACGUAGGUCCUGGGGAUCAAACUCGGGUCAUCAGACUUGGUGACAAGCACCUCAACACACUUAAGGAGCUUAGGCCAGCCUGAUUCAGGCAUGGAUUCUUGUAUCUCUGGAAAGCAGGAGAAACUUAGGUUACAGGGCAGGAAAAGACGUUUUUAUUCCUUCUCUACACUGGCAGAAUAGCGGUCUUGAACUAUCAACCUCCGGGCCUCAGUGUCGUGACCCAGAAAAUAGGCAGUUGGUCCGAAUGGCCUCAAAUGUUCCUCCUCCUCGGAAAUUCUGUGAUUCUGUGACUGUGUAGACACAGCCCCAGGCUAGUCUGGAAAUAAACUGUUCAAUGAGUUUAAAAUAAGACAUGCCGACCAAAUUACAAGAGUCCUAGUUGGCCACAGAUGGGGUUGGCCUUUAGCUGGAUUAGUAAUGAGGUUGUUUUAUUUUUACUUUAUUUUGUGUUUUAUUUUGUCUGCUCUCCACCCUUUCCAUCAGAGCCCUGUCUUCCUGAGCAUCCCCAUCACAGGCAUGGUGAGCUGGUCCAGGCCCCUAUCCAGCUGGCAGCCAGCCCUUUAUACUGUAUCCACCCAUUACUUCAUCCACAAUGGCUGGAGUCCAGCACCUGAGGUUCUAGGUAGGAGUCUGGCCUCAGCAGAAGCCGCCCUUUGCAAUGCUGCCUCACUGGUUUCUGGAGCAGGAAUGCAAAAGCAACCCAGGCAGGCAGAUGGGCCUGUUCCCCGUGGAUACCUUCUCUUGAAUCCUACCCCGUUACUAUGAGCUGAGUCACUUGACUUCUCUGCCUUGCCCAUGGCCUUCUGUGGUGAGCUCUCUGCCAAUGUCACCAGCCCUGGAUGUCUCAGUGAGGCAGCUGGCGAUGGUCCUCCUCUGGUAUCAGGUGAUGUUGCUGUCAUAUUAUUAACCCUGGCAGAAGGUAUGCCUGUAGCACGAAUCUUAAAAGGUCUUAUUAAUAAAAACAAACCCAGUGCCAGUUAUUGGGGUGAAUGCUGGAAGAUCAGAGAAGCAGAACAAGCCACAACUACCUCACCUCAUCAAUUCCUCUGCUGAUCCUGUUUCCUCAGACUGGAAGCUUCUGUGUCCUCAUCCAAAUGGAUCUCAGCUGAACUGCUGCUCGAAAGCCUAAAAGCUUAACCAGGCUCUAGUUCCUGGUCCUCACGCCUUAUGUACCUUUCUGCUUUCUGCCAUCACUUCCUGGGAUUAAAGGCGUGAGUCACCAUGCCUGGCUGUUUCCAGUGUGGCUUUACACUCACAGAGAUCCAGAUGGAUCUCUGCCUCCAGAAGGCUAGGAUUAAAGGUGUGAGUGCCACCAUCUUCUGGCCUCUAUGUCUGUCUAGUGGUUGUUCUGUUCUCUGACCCCAGAUAAAUUUAUUAGGGUGCACAAUAUAUUGGGGAACAAUAUCACCACAUGUGCCCACAUGUACGGCAGCAGAAAUGUAAGGAAAGGCAGGGCCUCUUAUGUCUAGGUGACAGGACACUAGAGAAACUGAGUUUCUUCUCCUCCGAAUGCUGCAGGUAAACUGUCAUUUACUCUGUUUAGCAAUGCUAUAGACUGCAUAUAUUAUGGCUUCCUGUUCCGAGAGCUGGGAAAACUCAGAUAGAUGGAGGAGUUGGCACGUGUGUUCCAUGGAAGAAUGGGUUUCCGAUGCAGCUUGGCCUGUUUGCAUAGUGCCCUGGGGGUCUGCUGCCCUGACUCCAGAACACUGUGCUCACAGAGGAAGAGGUGGCGUCCUCUAGCAUACAUGGGACAUUUGGCAUGUCAUAUACUCCUGCCUCAGGAUUCCUCCACUUGCUCUUCCUUCUGCCUCGUCUCCUAGCUGCCUCCUUCCCUUUCUUAGUGACACCUCUGCAGACCACUUCGAAUCACAGCCCCCACUCCAGCCUGCAUGGCCCCGUUCUUCUGUGCUCUGCAUUCCCGUGGAGUGUGAUCAACACUACCACAUGGGACACAGACCUUUCUCAGCGUCUGCCUGUCAUUCUCGGAACUUAAGAAAGGAGUUAGGUUUGGGCAUCCAGUCUUCAUGGGAGCAGGCUGUUCCCCCUCUGUGGCUUGCCGCAGUGUCGCCAUCGCCGUGGGUGGUUCACCAGAGCCUGCACCAGGACAUGGAGCCCUGGAGAUGUUACCAGCUGCUUGCUGAGCAAAUUCUGUGAGGCCACAACCACUCAGAGAGGGUGGCAGGAGAAAGGGAAGACCUAGCGUGAGAUGUCAGUGACAGACUCAGGAGAAAAUCUGUGGUGACAUCUGGUAUCCCAGACUGCAGCCUUUGCUGAGUCCCCUGUGGUAUUGCCAGUCCCUUCUUCCCAGCAGGUACAGAGCCGUGAGGCUGCAAGACGAGAUCACACUCUUGUGUUCACACAGCUCAGAAGGGGAACUGGUUUCCAUUUACUCACAGUGGUGUUUUGAAGGUGGGCCUUACGCUCUGGGCACAUGUGAGAUGUAGCCGUGAUGCUGUAGAGAGGACUCCAAGGUCAAGGAGACAAAUCCGGGAUAUUGUUUGUUCAAUAAGGGGACUCUAGAGGAAGUUGGCCCCUGUGUGUGCCCAGUUGUCCCCUGGGUCUAUCUCCAUCUUGUCACUCAGCAGGCAGUGUAGCACUGGUGAUCUAAACAGUUCACUACUGGCCUAUGAGAUUUGAUCGGAGUGUAGCAGGUUAGCAUGAGAUUUGGGAUCAGACUUUUGGAGUUCAAAUCUGGUCUUAGGAGCAAUAUGACAUUGAUCAUAUUAAAUUUUUGUAUGUAUAUACAUGUGUGCGUGUUCUUGCACAUAUGUGUGUGUGUGUAGAAAUGUUUGUAUGUGUAUUUGUGUGCACAUGGUAGUCAGAUGUCAACAUCGGAUGUUUUCCUCAGUCAUUCUUCACUUUAUUUUUUUGAGCCAGGCUCCUUCCCUCAACCUGGAGCUUGCUAAUUUAGGUAGCCUGGCUGGCCAGUGAGCCUGAAGAAUCCCCCUGUCUCUACCUCCCCAGUGUUAGCCUUCUAAGGUGUGUGCCUCUUUGUGUCACUUUUUUACUUGGGUACCAUGGAGUGAACUCAGGGUUCCACGAUUGCUCAGAAAGCAUUUUACUGAUGGAGCCAUCUCCCCAGGCCCUUAUCACGUCAUUUAGAGUGUUCUGGGCUUCUACAUGCUCCUUCUGUCGAUGAGGACUAUUCCUAUCUUCUUCAUAGGCUUACUGUGAGGAUAACAGAUUAGCACGCACAGAAUCAUUGCACCAGAUGUUCAUCGGCGGCCCGGCACACAGUAGGGGCUCAGUAAAAAGACAUGGGCACGAUGUGGGACACAAGAAGAUGGAAGCAUGGCUUGAAGCCGCUUCUUUGGCUACUGGAAAUGAUGGCAGCUGAGAUACAGGGACAACCGGAUUGUGCAACUCCCAAACAGGAGUGGAUUUUAAGUCAGCCUCGGGCGGUCUGAUCUUAAAAGCCGGGCCCUGGGACAUGAACCAAGAAGGUUUCUGGUGAUGAAGACAGGCAAAGGAGAUAGAUGGGGUUUGUAAACAUGACUACAAACACACUUUUGGUAACCAAGCAAUUUGGCAAUGGUCCCUGGUCUUGAGAGGGAAUUUUUCCCUUUAAAAACUAGAAUAACAGCACACGGCAAUGACUUCAUCCAGGACUCUGGGCGCGUGUCCCAGAGGGGCCACCCUUUUCUGGCUGUGAGGCCUUUAAGGCAGGUCAGGCAUAAAUGGAGAGUUUCCUGUCCCUGGUGGGCACAGCAGAUGAUCACCUCUGGCUGGGCUCUUCUAAGUCUAGCCUGCAAUGACUGGGAUUGCCCCCUCAGUUCCCGUUGAGGCUUUCCCCUUACAUUUUCUGCAAAGUGCCCCCUUGCUGUUGAUUGAGGGUUCCACAGUUAACUCCUAACCAUGCAUUGCAGGGAAAUUUUGUGCUCCUUCCUGCAUCGGGUGUUUUGGAAUCAAGGGUGGGUGGACAAAGGUGAAGAAAGCCUUCCAGGGUCCACCAUAACCCCCUGCACUCAGUACUUCAACUCUUGACCUCCCAGGGCAGGGCUGGGGCCUGGUGUGUCUCAUCAUUCCUGUGGGUUACAGUGUGGGGGGUCUCUCUAGUUCUUCGGGGUCUGCUCCUGGGAGAAACCGGUUCCUGGAGGUCUCUCACCCGUUCCCCAACGGGACUCGCGGCCUCCUAGAACAUUUUAUUUCUUCCUGCUUUGUCUUCAGUCAUUGUGUCUUCAUUUCCUGUCAUCACGGGCCAUAAAUCAGCCUCCCAGACAUUGAUGGACUCACCCCAGAGCCUACAUCUUCAACCUUAUGGAACAGACCAACUAAGAGUGCCAAGGUCAGACUGCCAAAGUCAGCCCCAGCUAUAUUCCCCUUUUGUUUUUUCAGGAUGAAGAAAAUGCUCCAUUAGCUCAUGGAUGCUGACUUUGUGUCAUCCCAUUGAGUGUCUUCAUGUGAGCUCAUGCUGGGCAGGGCCGACCGACACUGAUCAUUCAUCUUUUCCUCACCCCCAUGACUGAGAAGCUGAUCAAUUCCCAGAACAGCUCUGUCUGUUUAUAAAAUUGGGAAGGUUUGGGCCAGGUUCCUUCAGAAACAGCCUCCCAUUCUAAGAACUGAAAACCAUAUUGAUCUUUGAGUCAUAGUUUGGGCAGCCUGAGGAUUUCUGGGGUUGCCAAGACUCUAAGUCUUUUCUUUUGUAGUGAAUUGUGGACCUGAACUGGGGCCCAAGGCAGGUUCUUGGUAGAAGUGCUCUUGCUUGUUUGUAGGGUGGGUAGGACAAGUACAUAGCAAUGUUGGGGACCUCGGGAUCCUGGUGUGUGCUCAUGAGUCUACACAGGUACACCCAUACCCAUACACCCCCCCAUCACACAUACCUGGGAAAGAAAAGAAUCAGGGUCAAGGCAAGUGUGAUGUCAAAGUUUUUAGGGUGGGACCGCAGUGCCCAUCUCAUUGUCCAUCAGCCAUGAUGUUAGCCAAGUCCAGUGUCAGUACAGCAUGAACUUUGACCUCUGCACGUUCUGAAGGGCACAGCAGAGCUCUCAUCUGUUGCUAAAGCCAUCAGAAACACAUGCACAACCUGUGUGCCCUCUCUGUUUCAAGGGCAGGGUCCGCUGAGUAUGAACACACAGCAAGAGUGGACCUGUGCAGGAUCAACUUGGCCCUGGGUUCAGGAUGGUGGUAUGAACAUUGUCCUUGAUUUCUUAUGUGUUGUUUUGGUAUAGCCAGAUGUUCAGCAGAUGCCUGGCACACAGUAGGCCCUCAGUAAAAAGAUAUGGGCAGAAUGUGGAGAACAAGUGGAUAACAGCAUGGUGUGGGCAUUGCCUCAUGUUGAGAUUCGAGAAGAGACACAGACUUCAUCUGCAUUCUGACUUUACAGAGCUUUGUUCUACCAAGAGCCUGCCAGUCCCAUCAUUAAUCACUCGCUUUGAGGAGGUCUUUCUGAGUCACGCUUGGCAACAUGGAUACAUGAUCUCUCCUUGAGCCUGAUUCAGCAACAGGACGUUGUCUGGCUUCUUAUUUGUCAUAGAUGUAGAAAUUUACCUAUUGUGCAUUUGUGUCCAUUGGAAAGGAAAACAUGGUAGUCUGUAAGACUGAAGGCUCUGAAGGCAGCAUGAGGACUGGAGAAGCAUCUAAACUCAGGGAACUCCGACUUCAAACUUUGUUCUAAUAAGCAAAGCACUGUUGGAUUGAUUCCUGGUGUUUUUCUGAAAUCCGAGUGUUUUCGGAGGUGAUGCUUACAGAUGCUCAUCUGGAGGGAUGCUGAGCGUGUGGAAGAAUGAGAUUCCUGAAUCUAAUCUCCUUUGCUCAGCUUUCUCUCUGAUUAUGAUGAACAACAACUUGUAACCAACCACCCUAAAUGAUGAUAAGCAUCCAUAAUACAUUAAAUGACC